rnacentral:rRNA from 1 species
UACGUAGGUGGCAAGCGUUGUCCGGAUUUAUUGGGUUUAAAGGGUGCGUAGGCGGCUUUGUAAGUCAGUGGUGAAAUAUGGCAGCUCAACUGUCAGGGUGCCAUUGAUACUGCGGAGCUUGAGUACAGAUGAGGUAGGCGGAAUUGACGGUGUAGCGGUGAAAUGCGUAGAUAUCGUUUGGAACGCCAAUGGUGAAAACAGCUAGCUGGGAGUGUGCCGACGCUGAGACACGAAAGCCAGGGGAGCGAACGGG